rnacentral:lncRNA from 1 species
AUGCCGAAGCACUGUGCCUAUGGGUUGUGCAAAACGGACAACCGAUACCCAAAGAGUUCGGAGGGUGGUGUUGUUUUUUUUCCAUUCACGAAACCCAAAACUCAAUACGAGAAAUGCCGUGAGUGGAUCAAAAAGUGUGGGAGGCCCCAAUCGCAGAUGAAUGUCUCGACGAUAACCAAGAACACUUACAUUUGCUCCAAGCAUUUUGUUAAUGGACAGCCGACACACGACUUCCCCAAUCCCAUUGCUGCUCUCCCGGGGUCAGUUUGUACGCGGGAGCAUCACGGGGGUUGCCGGAGGUUUUAUUUAUUUAUUAAUUAUUGAAAGAAAAUGAUCAUAACCUCAAGAAAACAACUGUGUAAUCAAGUAACUAAACUAAACCUGUGUUCAACUGAUUGUUUACAGAAUCAGGUGUGACCAGCCGGAAACGAACACCUCAUUCUCCACCGAGGACACAUCACUACAGUGUGACUUGACCAACAACAGCGGUAAAUUUAAAUGGGGAGGAAGAAACUAAAGAAAAACAAAUCUAGAUUGUUUUUAAUGUUACACCACUUUUCCACAUCAAAAUGUAUCCUCUGUAAAUGGUAGUCCUCCUCACACAUCACAAAAAAGUCACACCAAGGCAUGCCUGUAAGUCCCAGCUGCCCUAUUAUCUGAUAGUAGUAGGCGUGGGUCUCCUUUAACCUUUGACUACCAUCUGACUGUUUUUGGAGAUAGGGACAGUCUUGGCAGCUGCUCUUUGAUGGACAUUUUAUUUCAAGAAGGCCAAAGCUUGUACCAUCUUUGACCCUCCUAUCUGGGGAUGCAGUGGCGUGCACAGACAUUUUGGGGGGCAGGUGCUCAGGGAAAAAUAAGGGCACAUUAAAGUGUCAUUUCGAAGUGAAGAGUGAUCAUUACCACUUUUCUAAAGCAGCAUCCUCCUCAGUGCCAUGUCUUGAUGUUGAUGACCUCACUAUGAUUGAUCUUGAUAUAUUUUUCUAUAGCAAGCAGGAGAAGGUCAGAGAGCCGUUCUUCUCCACACAGACUUCUUAGCUUAGUUUUGAUAAUUUUCAGCUUUGAAAAUUAUCUCUCCACAGAAGCAGUUGUCACUGGCAAUGUUUCAUCGAUUUUUAUCAUCUUCACAAAGGCAGGAAAGAUGAGCCGGCCACUGUUUUCCCUCAGUAUGGCAAAGAUUUCUUUGAGGUCUUUUGCAGGAAAGCUGGAGUGGAACACCUUUAGUUCUGUCUUCAGCUGGUCCUCGUCUUCUCCAUAGAAAUCAGGAUGUGGACGGCUUCCUUGGCUUCUGCGUUUGGCGUGCUUACCCAGUUGGCAUGUACCGUGAAGGGGUGGAAGGACUGAAUGAUUCUAGCAGUGGGACUUCAGCUCCUCAGUCACAGUAUCCAGAAAGGAGGCUUAGGGGGCAAACAAUACACUCUAGACUCAAUUCAUUUAUGUGUUACAUCGCCGGUUGGGCAGGGCAGGGGAGUAGGUGUGUGUGGGCAGCAGCUGUGAACUACAGCUGCAACGCGCCUCCGUUUGUGGCCGCUCUGCGCGUUCACGUUGACAAAGGAAGAGAGUUGUGUGCGAGGAGGAGGGGGGGGGGGCAUAUAUAUUGGGCCAUUAUUAUCACACGUUUUUAAUUGUCGAGCCUUUAUAGAUGAUAAUGUCGGCAUGGGCCACAUACACUGUUUAAAAAAAAGAAAAAAAAAAAAUCAGAUUAUUUUAUUUUUUUCAAAAGGGCACUUGAUUGGGUCAGGGGGCAAAGGGCAGGUGCUAUAGCACCACCUUGGGUCUACCUGUGCACGCCACUGUAUGUGCCGAGGUGUGGAGCAUUGGGAUUAACCACAAAGCCGACAGGGGAAACUAGAUUGCCUGUUAUUACUGUAUACUUCUGCGCUGCCUCGGGCUCAAGUUCUACCCCUCGCCUCAUUGCCUUGGUCUGCUUACCUGAGGUGGCCUUGAGCCUAACAGCCAAAGCACCGAAGUCGGCCCUCCUAGAACAAAUACACUUAAAUACACUUGAUGUGAGUCGUGGAGCCCUUGCAAGAUGCCAGGUUUUAUUUGCAUCUUGUUGUCUGGUCUCUCUUUCUAGGGCUGCAGACUGGGAUAGUGUGAUUGCUAAGACAUCUAGACUACACAUGUCUUUCUCAGACAGCACAAAACAAUAAUUUGAGGGCUGUGCUGGCAGAGGGAAAUCUGGGAAGUUAUAUGAAGUAGAUGAAGUAGAUGAUGGUCCUGGAGGGUCAAUGAGAGGAAGCUGUAAAACAUAAGAAAAUAAUGAACAUUAAUCAUUUCUCUUUAUUUUUGUCAUUAACAGAAGAUCUCGACAACCAAGAGGAACUGAGUCUGCAACCAAGCCGUGAAGCCAACCAAGAGGAAUUGAGAACUCUUCAGGAUGCAUUAACUGCACAAAAGCAGGAGAUAAUUAGUCUGAGGGUCAAGCUUGAGGCAAAGGACAGGGAACUACACCUUCAGAAGUGCACAGACUUAAACCC